AGCAGCCGCGGUAAUUCCAGCUCCAAUAGCGUAUAUUAAAGUUGUUGCAGUUAAAAAGCUCGUAGUUGAAUUUCGGGAUCAUCAGGUUGGUCGUGCCUCGGUAUGUACUGGUGUGAUGGGUUCCUACCUUCUGAAUAACCAGCAUGCCAUUUAGUUGGUGCGCCGGGGAAGCAGAGCUAUUACCUUGAAAAAAUUAGAGUGCUUAAAGCAGGCUAUUGCUUGAAUAGAUUAGCAUGGAAUAAUAAAAUAGGACGGCAUGGUUCUAUUUUGUUGGUUUCUAGGAUCACCGUAAUGAUUAAUAGGGAUAGUUGGGGGCAUUAGUAUUCAAUUGUCAGAGGUGAAAUUCUUGGAUUUAU
rnacentral:rRNA from 1 species